UCCCUGGUGGCUCAGAGGUUAAAGCGUCUGCCCGGAAUGCGGGAGACCCGGGUUCGAUCCCUGGGUCGGGAA
rfam:TPA: Bos taurus chromosome 23, whole genome shotgun sequence.